rnacentral:pre_miRNA from 1 species
AGUGAUAUUGCUGGGUCAUAUGGCAGUCCUAUUAGUUUUUUGAGGAACCUCCAUACUAAUUUCCAUAGUGGCUGUACUAAUUUACAUUUCCACCAACAGU